rnacentral:rRNA from 1 species
AGAGUUUGAUCAUGGCUCAGAAUCAACGCUGGCGCGCGCCUAACACAUGCAAGUCGAACGAGAAAGCCGCAAGGUGAGUAAAGUGGCGUACGGGUGAGUAACACGUGGAUCAUCUACCUUUUAGUGGGGAAUACCGAUGGGAAACCGUCGACAAUACCGCAUAAGCUCGAGAGAGGAAAGCAGCAAUGCGCUGAAAGAGG